rnacentral:rRNA from 1 species
UGAGUACGAGACGCUAAGGCGUCGAAUUGGUGUAUAUCAGACUUCCAAGAAAAGCUUGCACUGUCAUAAAUAAAGAAUGCCUGUACCAUAACCGACACAGGUGGGUAGGUAGAGUAUACUAAGGGGCGCGAGAUAACUCUCUCUAAGGAACUCGGCAAAAUAACUCCGUAACUUCGGGAGAGGGAGUGCCUUAUUUAUAAGGCUGCAAUAACAAGAUCCAAGCAACUGUUUAUCAAAAACACAGGUCUCCGCUAAGUCGUAAGACGAUGUAUGGGGGCUGACGCCUGCCCAGUGCCAGAAGGUUAAAGAAGUUGGUUAGCAUUAGCGAAGCUGAUAACUGAAGCCCUGGUGAACGGCGGCCGUAACAAUAACGGUCCUAAGGUAGCGAAAUUCCUUGUCGGGUAAGUUCCGACCCGCACGAAAGGCGUAAUGAUUUGGAUACUGUCUCGGAGAGGGGCUCGGUGAAAUAGACUUGUCUGUGAAGAUGCGGACUACCUGCACCAGGACAGAAAGACCCUAUUAAGCUUUACUGUAACCUGAAAUUGAAAUUGGACUUUAGUCGCGCAGCAUAGGUGGGAGGCUUUGAUGAUACUCUUGCGGGAGUAUCGGAGCUAUCAGUGAGAUACCGCUCUUCUAAUGUUAGAUUUCUAACUUUGAAUCAUUAUCUGGUCAAAGAACAGUUUCAGGCGGGCAGUUUGACUGGGGCGGUCGCCUCCUAAAUGGUAACGGAGGCGUACAAAGGUUUCCUCUGAACGGGUAGAAAUCGUAUCUAGAGUGUAAAGGCAUAAGGAAGCUUGACUGUGAGACCUACAAGUCGAACAGGGACGAAAGUCGGUCUUAGUGAUCUGACGGUACUGAGUGGAAAGGCCGUCACUCAACGGAUAAAAGUUACUCUAGGAUAACAGGCUGAUCUCCCCCAAGAGUUCACAUCGACGGGGAGGUUUGGCACCUCGAUGUCGGCUCAUCGCAUCCUGGGGCGGUAGUACGUCCCAAGGGUUGGGCUGUUCGCCCAUGAAAGCGGUACGCGAGCUGGGUUCAGAACGUCGUGAGACAGUUCGGUCCAUAUCCGGUGUAGGCGUUAGAAUAUUGAGAGGAGCCUCCUUUAGUACGAGAGGACCGAGAAGGACAUACCUAUGGUGUACCAGUUAUCGUGCCAACGGUAAACGCUGGGUAGCUAAGUAUGGAGUGGAUAACCGCUGAAAGCAUCUAAGUGGGAAGCCCACCUCGAGAUGAG